ensembl:ncRNA asRNA:CR45870 antisense RNA:CR45870
GUUUGGACGCUCAAGGCAUCCGGCUCAUAUGAAUUGAGCACCUCCAGUAUCUUGACAUCGCACAGCGAGGUGGUGUUGGAUUGGUAUAGCAGCUGCAUAGUCUGGUAAGAGUUUGAUACAGGAUUCCUUCGGUACUUCUGCCGUCCUCCACGAACUCGAUCCAAGCGCACACCCUCCUGAAAAGUUAAAGCGAUUAGAGUUUAGGAACUUUAACUCGGGACUAUGAAAUUACCUUGAGCAUGCCCAUUAGUAGACAUUUCUGGAAGCGACACGCUUGGCAGGCCUUGCGUCUCCGCUUGUUAAUCUCACACUCGUUGUUCGCCGGACACGUGUACUCGAUGUUGCCUUGGAUGGUGCGUUUAAAGAACGCUUUGCAAGCCUCACAACUCGCCACACCAUAGUGGAAUCCACUGGCCACAUCGCCACAAACCAAACACAAUCGGCGGAGCUCGUCCCUGACGGAUCCCGAUCCAGCUCCGGCACUCGCAUUGGUCGCAUUUCCACCACUCGUACCACCACCUCCUCCUCCGCCAUUGCCGCCACUUGUACCACUUCCUUUCAGACUAUCGCCAUCAUUGCUUAAGGAUACAUUGUGCAAAUCGCAGGAUAGAGAGGUCGUCGAGCUGCAGAGCUGCCUUUCCGGCGAAACCGAGGGCGAGGAUUUCAGGCCGUUUGUGCCACUCUGCGUGGCCGUUGACUUGGAGCUGGGACUAAAGCAGGACGCCGAUGGAGUGUCCACCUCCUGUUUGAUGUGCAAGAUGCUGACGCCGUCGGACAUGUUCGUGCCUUGGCUGGGUGAGAAAAAAAGAGUUGCGGAUAAAAUAAGAAAUAUGUUUCAACAAGUUAAAGCCUUUGAUUUGAACUUCAAGAAAAUGAUUGAUUAGAUAGAGGACUCGAGAUACAAGGUUUAGGAUAAACGAUAUGGUACGAUAUGAGGAUCAACCCAAAAUGCGGAGAGAAAUGAACAAGU